AGGAGGACGCCAGGACUGCGUCCCGGAGCCAAGUGCGGGAGGCGCGCAGGGCCGGCGGCGCGCGGAGAAAUGAGCAGAUUUGCAGAAAAACUGGUGUCCUGAAAUUUAAAACUAAGGCAUCGGUGCUACAGAGCUGCUCUAAGCUGUGGGCCAACAGGAGGCUGGGAGCUCUCCUCUAAAUUGCUUUGUGACCUUGGACAAGAACCCUCCCCUUCCUGGACUGCAAAUUUCCUCCUCUGUAAAAUGAAGGGUUGGCUCUGGCUGAGAACAUGGCCAAUGACAUUGAUGAGCUCAUUGGCAUUCCCUUCCCCAACCACAGCAGUGAGGUCCUGUGCAGCCUCAA
rnacentral:lncRNA from 1 species